UUCUUAUUGAAUGAUAAUGUCACAUGUCAUGUUAUAAUUGGAUAUCAACUCCAUGGAAGAUGAAAUGAAUUAUUAUUUUUAUUGAUUAAUCAGAACAUGACACCAUUAUCUAAUAAGAACGUGACACGUGACCGUUAACAUCA
rnacentral:pre_miRNA from 1 species